CCUGUCUUUUAUGUUAAUCACAAAAAAUCUUAAUUCUUUAGUUUCAAAUUUUAUUUGAUUUGAUUUUAAGGCGGUGAUGAAUUUAUGUAUACCAUCAAACUUUGAAAGCUAAAUUAGCUCGGUGAUGCCAACUAUACAAUCUGAGCCUUGUUUUGCUUAAACUUGUUUUAAUUUUAAUUUGAUUUUAGUGUUUUGGAUUUAUUGAAUGAAAAGGCAACAAUUUAGAGUCUCUGAUUCGCUUAUUUGAUAGUGAUUUCAUUAACUGAGAUUCUGGUAUUAGCCAUCGAUCUUCCUAAAUUUUCAAUUUUUUGUAAAUUCUGUUUUUUUAAAUGUUUUCUAGGUUUAUAUUAUAGUGACAAUUAUUUUGAUUUUAAUUUUUGCUAAAUCAUCUUUUUUUUUUUUUUGUUGUUGAAAAACCAGUAUUCAUUGUUGUUUAGUUGAAAUUGUUGUGUAUUUGAUCGGUUUAUUUAAGAUUUAUUGAAAUGUUAUAUAUGAAUCUGUUCUCCUCGAUUUUUUUGUAAUGUUUCUGUUCUAGUUCAAUGUUUGCUAAUACAUUUAUUACUUUCCAGUAGUAUGGAACUAAAGACUCUCUAGUUUCCACAGGCGAUUAUCCCUGACAGUGGAAACACCUAUUCAGGCAUUAGACAAGAUUAGGUUCCUUUCCCUCACCGACAAGGAGAUUUUAGGUGAAGGCUACACUGUCAAGCUUGAAAUCCAGGCAUUUGACAAGAUUAGGUUCUUUUCCCUCACCGACAAGGAGAUUUUAGGUGAAGGCUACACUGUCAAGCUUGAAAUCCAGGCUUUAGACAAGAUUAGGUUCCUUUCCCUCACUGACAAGGAGAUUUUAGGUGAAGGCGACAAUGUCAAGCUUGAAAUCCAGGUUAGAAUUGCUAAAUAUUUAAUUUAAGCAUCUAUUUAUAUCAUUACUUUAGAUUAGUUAAUUAGUUUAUUUUUCCUAUAUUAUUUUUGUUAGCUUAUGAUGAAUACCUAAGAAAUUCUUAUAGUUAAUUGCUUUUUUAGUGGUUUAUUUUGUAUAAUUAUGCUGCUGAGGAUCCGUGUUGAAACUUCUCUUCUGGUUUGCCUUUAUGAAUAUAUGAUUGUAUGGUCUCACUUCUAUGAUAUGUAUACCCUUGUUUGUGCCAAUUAUACUUCUAUACCCUUGUUUGUAGCAUCGAACAAACACAAAGAACUGGGUAAUUUCAUAUUGGGAAGGACAAUGGUUAUUAGCCAUCUGAUGUAGUUAUCUAUUAAAACUCAUCAAAUUACUUCCAAAUUUGAGGAGAAAAAGAUUCUGAGUUUGUAAUCUUAAAGUGUAACUCUAAGUUUUAUAGUGGGAAACAUAAAUACAUUUAUUAACUCCUGGGAUAUGUCCUGAAAUCAGUCUUUUCAUUUCCUUUGAUGAACACGAUCUAUGAUAUUUCAAGGUAUCAGUUCUUUGGUGAUUCCAGUAUUAUGAUUAUUAGAGUAAUUAAUUGUGAUUUGUUGAUUAAAUAGUUAAAUCAUAUGUUUAGUUCUACCUGUAUAUAAUUAAAUUUGUUGAGAAAUGCAACAAUUUCUUUUUCACCUAUUCCAUGGUGAUUCAGUUAUGAACGUUGCCAACAAUAAUUUGGAUCUGAAAUUCUGGCAUUGGCCCUUGUUUUUUCCACAGGCUUAUGCAUAGGCACAUAUCUUACAUACGAGGAGUGUGAAUUGGGGU